rnacentral:lncRNA from 1 species
AGCGUUGGGUAUGGUUGGAUCACAUGCAUCAUCAUUGAUCGUACAUCCGUUGUUGUAGUGCACUUUUUUGGAUUGAUUUAGAUGACAAAUUCGGUGCUAAGAUGAGCCUGAGAAUUUUCCCAGAUAUCAAAGAAGAAGAAGAAGAAGAAGAAGAAGGUUCGAUGCAACAAGGCCAUGAAUGAGGUACCUGGCUCUGUGGGCACUAGUGCUGGCUUUUCUCUGAGAUUGGCACAGGCCCUUUUUUCUUCUGCUUCUCUUCUCUUCAUGUCUUUGGGAGUUG